GUUUAUUGUUAUUAUUUUAUGAGACAGUGUUUUCAAGUGCAUCUCUUUUUUUUCUUCAAGGUUGUAGUCUGGAUCGUGUUCGAGUCCCAGAUUGGAGGUGUCUUUUGUCUUUUCUGGUGUUUCCGUCGUAACGUUUUCAUCUAUGAUUACCACAAUGAAUUACUUCAGAGAGAGGGAGGAUUCACUCUUUCUUUUGGCUGAUGUCACUGCAACUCCAGCAGAUGUAGAGAGAAACUUCCCUGUUCCCAGCAUCCCAAGGUGAUUGCACUUGGAGAUUCUGUUCUUCAAGCAAAAACAUGGAUGCUAACUAUGGAGGGCAGCGUCAUCAUCCAGCCGCAGGAGCUAACAGAUUUUUCAUCAGCAUUAGCUGUCCUGUUUGGCUGCUACUAUGUAUUCAAUGUCCAGUACCAGGAAGAGGCGGCCAGUACACCGGAGUUUAU